rnacentral:rRNA from 1 species
ACGGGAGGCAGCAGUGGGGAAUAUUGGGCAAUGGGCGAAAGCCUGACCCAGCAACGCCGCGUGAAGGAAGAAGGUCUUCGGAUUGUAAACUUCUUUUAUGAGGGACGAAGGACGUGACGGUACCUCAUGAAUAAGCCACGGCUAACUACGUGCCAGCAGCCGCGGUAAUACGUAGGGGGCAAGCGUUAUCCGGAUUUACUGGGUGUAAAGGGAGCGUAGACGGUUUGGCAAGUCUGAAGUGAAAUGCGGGGGCUCAACUCCUGAACUGCUUUGGAAACUGUCGAACUAGAGUGCAGGAGAGGUAAGUGGAAUUCCUAGUGUAGCGGUGAAAUGCGUAGAUAUUAGGAGGAACACCAGUGGCGAAGGCGGCUUACUGGACUGUAACUGACGUUGAGGCUCGAAAGCGUGGGGAGCAAACAGGAUUAGAUACCCUGGUA